AAACCACUGAGUAUAUUUUGGGGCUGUGUGAAUUUCUGACCUCAAUCUUCUGCAUGUAAAGGAAGUAAGCCUGUGUGUCUACACUGACUGAGUGUAGUUUAAUUUUUGUCCCAAGCCUGAGUUUGACCACAUUCUGUGUACCACACACACACACACACACACACACUGAAGUAAUGAGCAAGUCAAGACCUAGCAGCUUAUUUUCUAAAACAGCACAAUUACUCCAUCACACAUUCCUAACAUUACUAGCAGUGAAAGGCCUCUCACUGACAGUAAAUGCUUAAAAGUGCAGCAUUUCUGAUGCAUUUUAUUCAUAGGACACUAAGGCUAAGAUGUCUCAGGGAUACAGAAUGUGAGGAUUGAUUGGGUUGGUAGGACCAGGCCCUAGUCCAGUUGGGUCCAAAACUACCUGCAGAAUACCAAACAAUGUGGGGUGAUUUUAAAAUUUCCUCCUAGACCUAGUGUUGAUGAGGCAGCCUUACCCAAACGUUUGUUAUUAACAUCUCUCAAUGGAAGACCUCCAGGAAUAACAUUUCUUCAAUUUUGUUGUUUAUUUAUAAAUGAUGUACAAAUAAUCAAAUGUUAACCACCUGGAACGAAUAAAAAAGUGCCACAGGAUACCACGAUGACUUAUCUACAGUACACAGCAUUUACAAGAUUAGGCAAGAUGUGUUUUUGCGAUCAGAUUUAUUGGGUAAGCUGUCGUGAAGGGGUAAACACACAAUACAUAGUGCACUGUUCAUUAUUAAAAGGAUGCAUGAGUUGCAAACAUACACAGAAACAAUUCCCUGCCAUAUUAGGUUUAUAUGUUGAAUAACAAAUGCAAAUAUAAUGUACUUUCCCUCUUUAAUAAAAAAAACAGGCUGGAAUAACACACAAUCCGCAUCACUGUGUAUGUUAAACCUCUCCCUUGUAUUAAAAAUCCAAAGUAAAGCCAAGCCCAAAUAUCUUUUUAGAUCAUUUUAACAAUGACAGUUUCCUAUACAUUGUUUCAUGUAUUUGUCUAGCACUAUGAAUGCCAGCACUGCUGAAGGAACUAUGCAAACUAUAUGGUAUGGCUCUAUAUUUGUCCAGCAAUUCUACCACAGUGAGGGAAAUAGGAUAUUGUUAAACAGGAUUAAGUUUGUGCGCUUAGAGGCAUCAGCCUCUUUAAUUAUGUGCGUUGUGACAUCAGGUAAUGAAGAGUAAACACACACACACACACACACACACACACAUUCACACAUUCACACAUUCACACGCACUCAUCCGCACACGCACACAACUUUGGUACACAUACACAAAGAGCUUUGGUACAAAUUGAAGUGUUUGGUUCCUGGUCGUUCAGACUCACACCUGCCCCAGUAGGACUAGAGGAAUGAGACUUCAUGUAAAACCAGCUGGCAAGCGAGACAGAGAAGGGCAGAAAGAAGAGAGGUCAUCACAGACAGCAUCAUCACCAUCACCUAGCUUAGUGUAAACACAGUUUUCAGCUAGGCGUCAGCACAUGAUGAUCAUUCAGAAACCAUUAACUGAAUUUCAUUCCAGGGUUAGAUGCAUGUUGCUGAAGACCUGUGAUGUGAUUACAAAACACUGCAAUGUGGUAUGAACUCUCUCUUUCUCUCUCUGUCUUUCUCUUCAUUGGUUUGACUCAGUAGCUCCAGAACACAAAUGCCUUCCUUGACCUUUGACCGAAAUAUGCAAGACCCCACAGAGAGAGAGACAAACAGAUAGACGGGUAGAUGACCCACAAUGCAGCAGAGGAAUAAAGAGCUACGAAUCAAUUACUCAUGGGUAAAAGGAAAAGAAAAUCUCUCUCUCUCUCUCACACACACACACACACACAUACCCACACACAGACAGACUCUCUCUAAGUGGGUUGCAACAGAGGCCUUUGGUCAGGAAGGACUUAUGAGGAUCAGGUGACGCUGAGCUCACGGGCCCAAGCAGGGGGCUUGCCAUCAUAGGGGACCAGCACACGGGCCCCCACUGAGCUUGCUGCCCCUCCCUCUUCCUCUUCUUCACUUCCUUCUCCUUGCUCGUCCCUCUCUCCAGGCUCUGAGGCCCCUCCUCGGCCCACCCAACCUGGCUGCUCCAGACCUGGCACGGAACUGAAGGGCUGUUCUAGAACCUUCAGCACCCGCUGGACCUGAGGAGAAAGACAGGAGAAAGAGAGAAGGCAGGACAGAGGAGAGAGGCAGGGACAAAGACAGAGAGAGAGGGCAGGACAGAGGACACAGACAGGGACAAAGACAGAGAGAGAAAAGGUACAUCAAAGAAGGUGAGAGAGAUACAGGAGAGCAAAAGAAUGCAGG
ensembl:lncRNA